AUUGAGCGCUGGCGGAAUGCUUUACACAUGCAAGUCGAACGGUAGAGGGGGCAACCCCUCGAGAGUGGCGAACGGGUGAGUAAUAUAUCGGAACGUGCCCAGUCGUGGGGGAUAACGUAGCGAAAGUUACGCUAAUACCGCAUACGAUCUAAGGAUGAAAGCGGGGGAUCGCAAGACCUCGCGCGAUUGGAGCGGCCGAUAUCAGAUGAGGUAGUUGGUGGGGUAAAGGCUCACCAAGCCAACGAUCUGUAGCUGGUCUGAGAGGACGACCAGCCACACUGGAACUGAGACACGGUCCAGACUCCUACGGGAGGCAGCAGUGGGGGAUUUUGGACAAUGGACGCAAGUCUGAUCCAGCCAUUCCGCGUGCAGGAUGAAGGCCCUCGGGUUGUAAACUGCUUUUGUACGGAACGAAAAGGUCUCUCUUAAUACGGGGGACUCAUGACGGUACCGUAAGAAUAAGCACCGGCUAACUACGUGCCAGCAGCCGCCGUAA
rnacentral:rRNA from 1 species